rnacentral:rRNA from 1 species
AUUGAACGCUGGCGGCAUGCCUUACACAUGCAAGUCGAACGGCAGCACGGGGCAACCUGGUGGCGAGUGGCGAACGGGUGAGUAAUGUAUCGGAACGUGCCAUUGAGUGGGGGAUAACGUAGCGAAAGUUACGCUAAUACCGCAUAUACCCGGAGGGGGAAAGCAGGGGAGCGCAAGACCUUGUGCUCUUUGAGCGGAGGAUAUUAGAUUAGCGAGUUGGUGGGGUAAAGGCUCACCAAGGCGACGAUCUGUAGCGGGUGGGAGAGGAGGAUCCGCCACACUGGGACUGAGACACGGCCCAGACUCCUACGGGAGGCAGCAGUGGGGAAUUUUGGACAAUGGGCGCAAGCCUGAUCCAGCCAUGCCGCGUGAGUGAAGAAGGCCUUCGGGUUGUAAAGCUCUUUCGGCCGGGAAGAAAUCGUACAGGUUAAUACCCUGUGUGGAUGACGGUACCGGAAUAAGAAGCACCGGCUAACUACGUGCCAGCAGCCGCCGUAAGAC